AACGAACGCUGGCGGCAGGCUUAACACAUGCAAGUCGAACGCAUCGCAAGAUGAGUGGCAGACGGGUGAGUAACGCGUGGGGAUCUACCUAGUUCUACGGAACAACAGUUGGAAACGACUGCUAAUACCGUAUACGCCCUACGGGGGAAAGAUUUAUCGGAAUUAGAUGAGCCCGCGUAAGAUUAGCUAGUUGGUGGGGUAAUGGCCUACCAAGGCGACGAUCUUUAGCUGGUCUGAGAGGAUGAACAGCUACGCUGGGACUGAGACACGGCCCAGACUCCUACGGGAGGCAGCAGUGGGGAAUAUUGGACAAUGGGCGCAAGCCUGAUCCAGCCAUGCCGCGUGAGUGAUGAAGGCCUUAGGGUUGUAAAGCUCUUUCACCGAUGAAGAUAAUGACGGUAGUCGGAGAAGAAGCCCCGGCUAACCUCGUGCCAGCCGCCGCAGUAA
rnacentral:rRNA from 1 species